rnacentral:tRNA from 1 species
UGGAAUAUAGCUCAGUGGUAAAGUGCUUGCCUCACACGCAUAAAGCCCUGGGUUUAAUUCCCAGUUCCAA